AACGUAGGUGGCGAGCGUUAUCCGGAAUUACUGGGCGUAAAGCGUGUGCAGGCGGGCUAGCAAGUGGUGUAUGAAAGCUCCCGGCUCAACCGGGAAGGGUUGUCCGAUACUGCUGGACUUGAGGGCAGUAGAGGGUGGUGGAAUUCCGGGUGUAGUGGUGAAAUGCGUAGAUAUCCGGAGGAACACCAGUGGCGAAAGCGGCCACCUGGACUGUACCUGACGCUAACACGCGAAAGCUAGGGGAGCGAACGGG
rnacentral:rRNA from 1 species